GCAAGAAACCUUAAUGAAAGAACAAAUGUUAUAAGCCUGGACACACCUUUCAGAUAAAGAAAGGACUAAAUAUCAAAGGUCUCUGAGAAAAGAAGAUGCUGUACCUUGGGGUGACAAAUCCAAAUAGAGUUGGGGGAUCUAAGUGCAGAGAGAGCCUGGGCCCCCUUUUUAGAACCCAGGGAGAGAGCAAUGCCCUGGAGUAGAAAAGGCCAUGUGUCUUGGCUAAUGGGCUUGGGACAGCCUCAUAGAACUCCCCCACACCCCUAAAUGUCACAGAGCAGAAUGAGCCCCCAAAGGUCUAGGGUAACAGCUUAGAGAGAAUCACAAAUGCAUGACUCUAAAAGUGAGUGUCUCUUUACAUUUUGAGCCCUAGGUGUCCUGCAUGCCACACCCUCAUCCCAGCUCUUCAUGGAGAGGUCCAGAAGUUGAAGCACCACGUGGAGAAAGGCCACAAACAGUAGAACUGAGGCACCCCUGCCAAACUUCCAGCUGAAUGGGGCAUAUGAGUGAUCUAGCUGGCAUGAUGUGACACAGAAUUACCUAGGCCACCCACAGAAUGGACAGUGACAAAUUCUGUGAGCCGGUCACGUUCCACCUCAGCGGCCUGCCAGAGGGCCUUGAACUCUGUCACCUGUGUCUGCCAGCCUUUUUGUUCUGGUUGCGGAUCCUUAAUAGGUUUUUCUCCUGUGCUGACAGCUUCCUUGGGUCUGGAUGGGCAGGCAGCUCAUCACUGGCUGUUUCUAUAGACUGGCUCCGGGUCUGUCCCAGCUGUCUCUCAAGCUCUCGAACCUGAAGGUGGUAAAGCUCACUGUUCCACAAGGGGUCUGCAGUCAGACUUGGCCCCUCAGAGGGGCUGCCCUGUGGGGGGAUGGGAGACCCCACUAGAGGGAUGACACCACAGUCCCUGAUGGACAUGGAGGCCCCUAGGAGAGGGACUGGGAUGGGGGAGGGAUCUUAGGUGGCAUCCUGAGCAAAACAAGGAAGGACAUUAGAGAGGUUUAGCUUGGAAAAGAGAAACUUCAAAGUAAAUGAGAAAAAUCACCCCACCUCUGAGGGACGUUUGAGGCCCAGAAGCAGAUGUAUAGCUCCCAGAACUUUGGAGGGACAGUAUAGCAUGUCUCAGUACCAGAAAGGGUUCUCUAACAGACAGCCCACUCAGACCUGGGUAGGUUCCUCAGGAGGCCAAGGAUUCCUGGCCACUUGCAGGAGAUAUGCAGAGGGAGGGCAGGUUUUGGAAGCUGGGAGACCAGCUUAAAGUCUCAUUGGCUAUGUGACUGUGCACAGAUUACUGAACUCUAAAUCUCAGGUCCCUCAUCUGUGAAAGGGCCUAUGGGUACACCCUGCAUAAUGUUAUUACACGUUCAGUAACCUGAACUUGUCUGAGCCUGGGAAUCCCCAAGAUGCUUCUUGGAAUGACAAACCUUAGAGUCCAUUCCAGGUCAGAGCUCCAGGGGAUCUGCAUCCUAAACAAGUGCUACAAGUGAUUUUUAAGAUUAGGCAACUUUGGAGUUCCUGUCAUG